rnacentral:rRNA from 1 species
AUUGAACGCUGGCGGCAUGCCUUACACAUGCAGGUCGAACGGCAGCACGGGAGCAAUCCUGGUGGCGAGUGGCGAACGGGUGAGUAAAGUAUCGGAACGUGCCCAGUCGUGGGGGAUAACGUAGCGAAAGUUACGCUAAUACCGCAUACGAUCUAUGGAUGAAAGCGGGGGAUCGCAAGACCUCGCGCGAUUGGAGCGGCCGAUAUCAGAUUAGGUAGUUGGUGGGGUAAAGGCUCACCAAGCCGACGAGCUGUAGCUGGUCUGAGAGGACGACCAGCCACACUGGGACUGCGACACGGCCCAGACUCCUACGGGAGGCAGCAGUGGGGAAUUUUGGACAAUGGGCGAAAGCCUGAUCCAGCCAUGCCGCGUGCAGGAUGAAGGCCUUCGGGUUGUAAACUGCUUUUGUACGGAACGAAAAGGUUUGGCCUAAUAAGCUGAGCUCAUGACGGUACCGUAAGAAUAAGCACCGGCUAACUACGUGCCAGCCGCCGCCGUAA